AUGACCUAAAUUUUAUUUAAUUUUUUAGUUUUUAUGAUAAAUAUAACAUCAAUGGCAUAGUCCGGUGCUAUUGAUUGUACUCAUGUUGCUAUUAUUGCACCUUCAGUGGAAGAUAAGCUUUACCCGGAACAUGUUUAUGUCAAUAGAAAAGGAUAUCAUUCUAUUAAUACUCAAUUAAUUUGUGAUUCAGACUUACGAAUAUUGCAUGUCUCAGCAAUAUUUCCUGGUUCAAGCCACGGCUCAAACAUAUGGAAUAACUGUGACGUGAAUGAUUGUUAAAAAAGAUGUUAAAAAAUAAUUGAUGUUAAUUGCUUAUAAGUAAAUAAUUACUCAAAUAAAAUGUAUUUUAAAUUUUA